rnacentral:rRNA from 1 species
UACGUAGGUGGCAAGCGUUGUCCGGAUUUACUGGGCGUAAAGAGCGCGCAGGCGGUCGUUCAAGUCGCGUGUGAAAGCCCCCCGGCUCAACUGGGGAGGGUCACGCGAUACUGAUCGACUCGAAGGCAGGAGAGGGAAGUGGAAUUCCCGGUGUAGUGGUGAAAUGCGCAGAUAUCAGGAAGAACACCCGUGGCGAAGGCGGCUCACUGGCCCGAUACUGACGCUGAGGCACGAAAGCGUGGGGAGCAAACAGG